rnacentral:rRNA from 1 species
CCUACGGGAGUCAGCAGUGAGGAAUAUUGGUCCAUGGGCGGGAGCCUGAACCAGCCAAGUCGCGUGAGGGAAGCAGGUACUGAGUAUUGUAAACCUCUUUUGCCAGGGGCCAAAGGCGGCCACGGGUGGCCGUAAGAGGGUACCUGGAGAAAAAGCAUCGGCUAACUCCGUGCCAGCAGCCGCGGUAAUGCGGAGGCUGGGAGCGUUAUCCGGAUUUAUUGGGUUUAAAGGGUGCGCAGGCGGUUUGUUACGUCAGCGGUCAAAGCCCGGGGCUCAACCCCGGCCCGCCGUUGAAACUGGCAGUCUCGAGUUGGAGAGAAGUAUGCGGAAUGCGCGGUGUAGCGGUGAAAUGCAUAGAUAUCGCGCAGAACGCCGAUUGCGAAGGCAGCAUGCCGGCUCCACACUGACGCUGAGGCACGAAAGCGUGGGUAUCGAACAGGAUUAGAUACCCGAGUAGUC